rnacentral:misc_RNA from 1 species
AACCAUAGAAACCUGCGGAGUACCUGCGGAAGGAUCAUUAUCGAGUGUAACCUACCCCGUGAAAAAGGGUGGUACCUCCCGUCCUUUGCAGGCCCCCCUUUUGAUGGGGGGCUUUUUAAGACUUUCUGCUUCGGCGGGGUUACUCCCGCCGGAACACCCUCAAAAAACUCUUGAUCAAAAACCGUUCAGUCCGAGAAUUUUUGAAAAUUAAAAAAAAAACUUUCAGCAACGGAUCUCAGA